UCAGAUAUAUUUCUAUUAAUUGAUUUUACAAUGAUUGAAAAUUGAAAUUCUAAAUAAAAGUGUUAAUUAUUUGUUGGUGUAAAUUAUAAAUUGGAAAAACAUACUAUUAAGAUAUUUUUCAACUAAAUUAAGUGCCAGAAGGGGCUGAGUUAAAGAGGUAACUUUAAAAACAGUUGAUGAUAUACUUGCAUUUGCAACUGAUAUAUCUCAUCACCAGGAGAUACUAUUUCUCUAGUUCAUCUAAAUGAAGGUUUGUGUUUGAGUUUUGUAUGAUGAAAUUGAAAAUGUGUUUGCAUUUACUAACUGUGAUUUUUCAGUACUUGAAAUAUGUAUGGUACCAGCAGAGGUAUGAUAUUUUGUUUACAAGGUUUUUUAGUUUUAAGGACACCAUCCUGGAUCUCACAACUUGAUAGGGACUAUAACAACUUUGUAUUAGAAAUUAAAGCAACAGUAUUUGCAUUUAAAAUCUUUUGGAAUAAUUUGUUUUUACUGAGUCGAGAGUAAUAUGUUUUAGCCUAUGGAUUCUAAGAUGUUUAUAAAUUACAAAAUAUUAUUUCUAUUAUACAAAAUGUUUUGAAUUAAAGAAAAAAAAGGGUGGGAGGAUAUUUGUAGAGAAUUCUAAACAAGAAAACUGAGGCAGAAGUUGUCUGCAUCUCAUAUCUACCUUUCUUUAAAGUCUAUAUUCUUUUAAAGUUACUAUUCAUUACAUAGAUUCUGGCUGAAAUAAGGUGCUAUGUAAUGGGGUAUUAUUGGCUAAUAUAUUUUGGAUAUUAAGCAAUUGUCACAUACUGUAUAUACACAGAAGCUAAAAGAUCAAUAUAGUGGGGUGAAAUGGUGGGAAAUGAAAUUUAGUUGUGGAAAUCAGAUCAGUAUAGAGGGGAAAUGGUGGGAAGUCAAAUUUAGUCAUACAAUUCAGAUCAGUAUAGGGUAGUGUUUCCAAAGCUGUGUUCUGUAGAACUAUGGGAUUCCAUACAAUAUAUCCAGGGAUUCUGUGAGAAAAUUUUAUGUAGUGUAGUCAGAGUAAAGGAGUAGGCCAGGUAUAGGUAUGGCAUUAAAUCUCAUCAGCCCAUAAAUCAUACCACUGCAUAUUCCUUUUGUCAUUGGCUAUUUCAUUUAUGGGUGGAGUCUAAUUGAUGACUCACUGUAAGUUAGUCGCUAGUGAUAAUCGAGUGUAGUGUUUCAGGGAAACAACAAGCUAGUCUUGAGAUAACUUUUUAACAUAAGAAUGUUUUUUAAGAGUUCUGUCAAUAGUUUUUGAGCUAAAAAGUGUUCCGUGGCUAAACAAGUUUGGGAAAUGCUAGUAUACAGGGAUAUAUGCUCAGAUCAGAAAGUAGUCAUUGUGAAGAUUUUAGUGUAGAAGCCUCUGAUAAAAAUGAACUUCCCAAAUGAUUGUUUUUUUAUGUUUGUGUAUUAGAUAAAACUGAGAAAUACAGUUCUAAUUAUAGCCAUUUUUUUUUCAUUGUAAGAACAAUAUUUUUAUAAUAUAAUGAGCCUGUCAUUGGACAACCAUUUGGUCAAAAGAGAUAACACAUAAAUUGAUAUCUAAAAAGGAGUAAAUUAAUAUUUGAAAUGUUGUGAAUUCAAUAGUUAUCCUUUGAAGGAAACAAAGGUAUGUUUUUUAUACUAAUUUAUUGUAUUUUUAUGGCUACAGAAUUAUAUAUAUGAAACAUAUAUUCUUGUUGUUUUUAUGCUCGUAUAUUACUAACUAUGUUAUAAUGUGAAUUAUGUAAUGUUAUGCUUGAGCUUGUGCCAAAUAUGAAAGUGAAUGUUUAUUGGUCUGUUUGAAUACAUUUUAUUAAUGAUAACAUCUUUAGCAAUAACAAUAUAUAUGCAUUUAAACAAUGUUUAUCGUUUGACCUAAGGUAGAGUUUUAUUUACAGUCUUAACAAGUGUUAAUAACAUAGAAAUAUUAGUAGCAUGAUAAUUUACUGUAGUAGUAAGAUAAAUAUUUUCUUAGCUUCUGUGUGUGUGUGAUAAGCAUUGAUAAAUUUGUGUGUAAUUUUUUAAAAGGGGAUGGUAUACUUACAUACAUAAAGAACUAUUUUAUUUACGAGUUCUUAACUUUAUAGCUGAUAAAUGUUAUUAACAUACAAAAUGAACAACUAUUUGGAAACAGUUUAAUGUAUAAUCUUUUGUUUGAUCUAAGAAAAGUUUCUGGCUAUUAAUCUUGAACCAUACUAUUGUUAAAUUGAAUGUAAAUAGUUAUACUGUUACAAUGGUCUAGUGGUUAGGGUGCUUAAUUCGCAAUCUGAAGAUUGCAAGUUCGAAUCCACGUCAUUGAACAUGCUCAUCCUGUAUGGUUACCAUCUGGGCCUGCCACCUGGUUGUAUAAAUUCUUGGCUUCCAAAAUUACUGUCUAACCUCAAGCUAGUUGAGAUUAAGGUCAUUAUGGAGAAUAAGAAGUGUAUACUGUUACAUAUAUAUUAAUGGUAACCUCAAAUUAUGAACUAUAGUUUGUAGCUCAUUAUUUAUGUUAAAUAGAUGUUUUAUAUUUGGUUCUUAGAUUGAAAAUUAACUAAAGGCAAAAUUUCAAUUACAAUUAAAAACAUGAGUUAUAUAACUAAAUACAGUAAAUAAAGCAAAAUUCUUUUUUAAGAACAAUUACUGUGAAAGUAGGAAACAAAACUAAUAAGUUAAAGCUUAUAGAAAAAAGUGAACAAGAAAAUAUAAACUCAGUUAGAAUUUUAAAUUACAGUUUACUAUGUAUAGAAUCAAGCAAAUAGUAUUAAAACCAUAAAGUAAAAAUGUUUAAAUGAAAAGAGAGUAUGGCAACAUAAAAAUUUCUAAAAUAAUAUUGAAAACAUUAUGAAAAAAGCUGCAAAUUUGUAUAUGGUAUGUUGUUUAUAAGUAACAUUAUAAAUAACUUGUAUAUCAGCUGCCAUUUAUCCUUAUAACAGGCCUGGUUUGUUCCUUAUCUUGAAGAGGGAUGAAAUUACCAAUAUUUGAUGGCAUUUGGGGCGAUACUUAUCAACUGGUUUGCAAGUGCGCACAGCAUGCAGAGUUUUAACUGCUAUUCAAUGGUGGACAUCUGGAGCAAACACGUGAGAAAGAGCACAGAUGGUUCGUGUUUACUUCAAGGUCUACGCUUAAGAGCUUACUUUUGACAACAGAAGACUUCCUACAAAGGGCAAAGUAGUCAUCUGGUUCACUGUGUCACUGUCAAGCGAAGAGGAUUGUGUUGCUGCUCCGGACCUUGUUGGCCUGAGAAAACUACUGUGGUUUCACCAUUUAGGUUUCGUCCCAUUUCUUCC